CCUUUAUCUGUUAAAUAGACUGCAGUAUCUUUUAGAUACUACAAGCUUCUUAGAGAGACUAUUAACCUUUAGUUAAUGGAAGUUGAAGGCAAUAACAGGUCUGUGAUGCCCUUAGAUGUUCUGGGCUGCACGCGCGCUACACUGAUAAAUUCAACAAGUUGCACUUUAAGUGGUCUCCUUGGCUUAUAAGCUUGGGUAAUCUUUUUGAAACUUUAUCGUGCUGGGGAUAGUACAUUGCAAUUAUUGUACUUUAACGAGGAAUUCCUAGUAAACACAUGUCAUCAGCAUGUGUUGAUUACGUCCCUGCCCUUUGUACACACCGCCCGUCGCUACUACCGAUUGAAUGGUUUAGUGAGGCUUCUGGAUUGCUUAGAUGGCACUGUUUCAGUGCUUUUCUUGGCAAAAAGUUAGUCAAACUUGAUCAUUUAGAGGAAGUAAAAGUCG
rnacentral:rRNA from 1 species